rnacentral:rRNA from 30 species
UUAAGUGACGAUAGCCUAGGAGAUACACCUGUACCCAUGCCGAACACAGAAGUUAAGCCCUAGAACGCCGGAAGUAGUUGGGGGUUGCCCCCUGUGAGAUAUGGUAGUCGCUUAGC